rnacentral:rRNA from 1 species
AUUGAACGCUGGCGGCAGGCUUAACACAUGCAAGUCGAGCGGGGUGAUGGUGCUUGCACUAUCACUUAGCGGCGGACGGGUGAGUAAUGCUUAGGAAUCUGCCUAUUAGUGGGGGACAACAUCUCGAAAGGGAUGCUAAUACCGCAUACGUCCUACGGGAGAAAGCAGGGGAUCACUUGUGACCUUGCGCUAAUAGAUGAGCCUCAGUCGGAUUAGCUAGUUGGUGGGGUAAAGGCCUACCAAGGCGACGAUCUGUAGCGGGUCUGAGAGGAUGAUCCGCCACACUGGGACUGAGACACGGCCCAGACUCCUACGGGAGGCAGCAGUGGGGAAUAUUGGACAAUGGGGGGAACCCUGAUCCAGCCAUGCCGCGUGUGUGAAGAAGGCCUUAUGGUUGUAAAGCACUUUAAGCGAGGAGGAGGCUCUUUUGGUUAAUACCCAGGAUGAGUGGACGUUGCUCGCAGAAUAAGCACCGGCUAACUCUGUGCCAGCCGCCGCCGUAA